UGGGGAAUUUUGGACAAUGGGCGAAAGCCUGAUCCAGCCAUGCCGCGUGUGUGAAGAAGGCCUUUUGGUUGUAAAGCACUUUAAGCGAGGAGGAGGCUUCUUUGGUUAAUACCCAAAGUAAGUGGACGUUACUCGCAGAAUAAGCACCGGCUAACUCUGUGCCAGCAGCCGCGGUAAUACAGAGGGUGCAAGCGUUAAUCGGAUUUACUGGGCGUAAAGCGUGCGUAGGCGGCUAAUUAAGUCAAAUGUGAAAUCCCCGAGCUUAACUUGGGAAUUGCAUUCGAUACUGGUUAGCUAGAGUAUGGGAGAGGAUGGUAGAAUUCCAGGUGUAGCGGUGAAAUGCGUAGAGAUCUGGAGGAAUACCGAUGGCGAAGGCAGCCAUCUGGCCUAAUACUGACGC
rnacentral:rRNA from 1 species